rnacentral:rRNA from 1 species
UACGUAGGGGGCAAGCGUUGUCCGGAUUUAUUGGGCGUAAAGAGCGUGUAGGCGGUUAUACAGGUCCGCUGUGAAAACUGGAGGCUUAACCUCCAGACGUCGGUGGAAACCGUAUGACUAGAGUCCGGAAGAGGAGAGUGGAAUUCCUGGUGUAGCGGUGAAAUGCGCAGAUAUCAGGAAGAACACCCGUGGCGAAGGCGGCUCUCUGGGACGGUUCUGACGCUGAGACGCGAAAGCGUGGGGAGCGAACAGG